GCAGAGUAGGGUUUUGCGCGUUAAGUGUCGCUCGGACGGGGAGUUGCCGGGCGGACGAAAAGCCGGGUUCCGGCUUGCGGUGCAAGGCCCGCAUCCCGCUGC
rnacentral:ncRNA from 1 species